GAGCGAGAAAGUGGCUUCGGCCAUCAGUAAAGCGGCGGACGGGUGAGUAACACGUAGGUAAUCUUCCCUUGAGCGGGGGACAACGUUCCGAAAGGGACGCUAAUACCGCAUACGUUCUCCGAGACUCCGGUCUUGGAGAGGAAAGCUAGGUAGCAAUAUCUGGCACUCGAGGAGGAGCCUACGUCGCAUCAGCUAGUUGGUGGGGUAACGGCCUACCAAGCCUGUGAUCCGUAGCUGGUCUGAGAGGAUGAUCAGCCACACUGGGACUGAGACACGGCCCAGACUCCUACGGGAGGCAGCAGUGGGGAAUAUUGGACAAUGGGCGCAAGCCUGAUCCAGCAAUGCCGCGUGAGUGAUGAAGGCCUUAGGGUUGUAAAGCUCUUUCGGCGGGGACGAUGAUGACGGUACCCGCAGAAGAAGCCCCGGCUAACUUCGUG
rnacentral:rRNA from 1 species